rnacentral:rRNA from 1 species
UACGGAGGGUGCAAGCGUUAAUCGGAAUUACGGGGCGUAAAGCGUGCGCAGGCGGUUUGUUAAGUCCGUUGUGAAAGCCCCGAGCUCAACUUGGGAAUUGCAGUGGAUACUGGCAGGCUGGAGUACGGUAGAGGAAGGUGGAAUUCCCGGUGUAGCAGUGAAAUGCGUAGAUAUCGGGAGGAACACCAGUGGCGAAGGCGGCCUUCUGGACCAGUACUGACGCUCAUGCACGAAAGCGUGGGGAGCAAACAGG